GUGAAAAUUAUGUUGAGCCAUUUUCAUUGACUUGUGAAGUUUGACUAUGUGUUUGGGCCUUGGUCAAGGUGGAUUUGUCUUUUGUUGGAUUAAAAUCAUUGGAUUUAAGGGAUUGAUGAAAUGCACAUUUCAUCUCCCAAAAUGAAUGAAUGAUUUUAAUUUGAUAAAAUUCCUUCCAUGACCAAUUUUGUUUGUCUCAUUUCCCCUCCCUCUUCAACUUCAAUCCCUUUUUAUCCCAUCCCUUCCAUUGGCCAAUGAAAUGUCAAUAUCCUAAGGCUAAUUGGUUCAUUAAUAACUUUGUGUUAGAUGAACCAAUACAAGUAUGGAUGAGAUUAGGUCCUUCCUUUGAUCAUUUUAUUUUUGUGUGUGGUAUGUUUUAGGAUUAUGACUCAUGAUACCAUAUCUCUAACAUGCAUUAACACCAAAAUUUCUAUUGCCCGACCUCAGAUAGUUGUGACUUCUACAUAAGUCCAAUUACGAUUGCUUAACAUAGCGCUAAAUUUUGAUCCAAAGACAUAGCAUUCUAGUAAGUGAGAUUGUAAGUCUCCCCCCUUUCAUGGUAUUGUGUGGAAACUUGGCCUUUUUCCCUUCCUUUGGAAGAUGUCUUGGUUCAAAGAUCCAUGCUUGUGAAUAGAGGGUCGAGUGUUCUCCAAAGAAUGACUUAAACAAUUGAAAAGCAAAACUCCACUAACAUCUAAUCAACUAACAUUUGACUAACUUUUAUUGUCUUGAUCUUAAUUUCAAGUCAUUUACUUUAUGCAAUUUAAAUUCAAGUCGUUUACCAUUCCAUUUGCCAUUUUACAUAUCAUUUAACUUGUUUAUGUUUAUGCAGUUUUCACUUUGCUCACUUGAGCCAUAUAUAGUGAUUGUAUAUAUUUGUUUGUGUAUCAUGUUUGUGUUUAUGGUCUUAGGACCUUAAAAUACCUAAUAAACAACAAAAAACCUUAAAAAAUGAUUGUGUGGACUGUUGGAUUUGAUCUGAGUUUUGGAGUUAGAAUUAGGCAACAUUCCCUAUGCAAAAGGACUUGGCCAAUGCCAACAAUUCUGAAACCAAGUUCUUGUGAUUUGAAUCAUCAUAUGAUGUACGUAUUGGGAUCCACUUGAGUUCAUCUGCUAUAUGAUCCUGAUGCAAAUGUUACUUUGAACCUGUGUGUAGUGCCUUAUUCUAAGCUAUUCAAGGAGUAUGUCAUCUGAUACAUGGGGACGACUAUGAAGAAGACUAUGAAGUUGCUAGCUUUGAUGUAGCUAUCUUUAUUUGAUGCCUUACUCUUCAUUAUGUUACUUGCUUAUUGAUAUUGCUUGAUUUAAAGUCCAAAUAAAAAGUGGGUUUCUAUAUGACAUUCUUGUCUAUUGGAUUCCAUCCCGUUGGUCAGAUCUUUUCAACUCUUAACUUUUAAAUUUUUGCUUAGGAUUAGUCUCUUCAUCUCCUCCCACUUAUUAAAUUUCAAAUCUCUUCCCCUUUUCAAAACCUUCUUUGCUUGUGAUUUCUAAACUUAGACUUUAUUGCAAACUAGAAACUUUGGCCUUAUGCCAUUGCAUUUUUAAACUCUUUUCUCAAUCAAACAUGUAAAUGAAUCUAAUCAUAUUGACUUAAAAUUUCAAAAGACAAAAAGAACUAACAUUCAUUAAAACUUUUGGGCCCUUUGUGCCUCUUUUAAACUUAACCUUUUGUUAAAAGCAAUUCACUCACUUUCAAUUGAUACCACAAACUACGAGGUUUUGAUCCCUCAUUUUAUGUUGGUACGUAGGCACAAGUCCGAAGGUCUUGUCAAACACAAAAAUAUAAUUAAUGAAUUCUUUUCUCAUCCCCACACUUUAUUUAUUGCAAACAUCUUUUAUACCAAAACACAUACACACAUAAAAAAAGGGCUCCCUAGGAGUACCUAGGACACUUUAGGUGCUAACACCUUCCCUCUGCGUAACCAACCCCCUUACCUGUACUCUCUGGCAUUUUAUUAGUUUUAAUUUGAAAACUUUUUAUCCUUGGGUUUUGUUCGUAUUUUUCCCUUUUCCUUUGGAAACAAUAAAAGCGCGGUGGCGACUCUGGUUUUAUUGACGUUAAGUUUAUCCAUAGCUUAAUGGUCAUGAAUUUACUGCUACACUCAUUCAUUGUUUCCAACGACCUUCACUGAUCCAAAUUUCAUUUAUUCAUUUUGGUCAGAUCAUGGCAUGAUCACUAGGUUUCGCUAUCAUUCAUUCAUUUAGAAUAUUGGUUCCAAUUAGAAACAUGAAUUUUUAACCAUUAAAGCCUAUUUCAUCAUCCUUUGCAUCAGUUGACUUUGGGUCGACUGUUGACUUUUUGGUUAACUAGUUGACCAAAGUCAACUUACCACACUUUCGUCCCCCAAUUGUCAGGACAUUGCUCUUAUUGUCCACCGUUCAUCUUUAACCCAUGUCCAUUAUCUUUUCAAACAUCAUGAUCCAUUUUAAACUAGAGUUAUUUUCCCACCUAUCUCAUCUUCAAAUUUUAUUCAUGUUAAACCAUUUCGAACUUUGUUCAUUGUUAGCCAUAAUUCAUGUUGUUGUCCAUUUCUAAAUCAUGUCCAUAAACCUUUCAAACCAAAACUAAUUGCAUUACUUUCAAAUAUUCAAAUUCCAUGCAUAAACCACAAAUUACAAUAAUCCCAUAAACCAUUUUUAAUUCAAAGUGAAAACAUUCCCAUUUGAAUUCCCAUUACAAAACCCAUUCAUUCAAAUCUUUAAAACGUUUACAAGCCAUUCUCAUACCAAAUACCAUAUAUCAUUCUGAUUCAAUUCCAAAACCCUACAUUCAAUUCAAGUUUACAAUUCAUAAGACAAUUUCAAUAAUCGUUACGUAAUCAAUACAUAAUCAUGUAUCAUUCAAUCUUUAUUUUUUUACACAAACAUUUCCAUCAUAAAUCAAAUUCCACUUACGUACAUAUAUUCAGAUUCGUUUCCAAUAUUCAAAUUAAAAAUCAUUCCCAUUACAUUUCAAAUUGAUAGUUACAAAAAUUAAAACAUUACUUAUCUAGAUCGAAACCCCCCUUUCAUGGACAAUCCACAUGAGUUCCCCUCCAAUUCAUCAUCAUGGCAUAUCCACAUGCACAGCCGAUAUAAACCAAGCCAUUCAGCCCAAUUGCAAUAGAAAAAGGCCGAUAAAAACAAUUCCAAUAAAAGUACAUUCAACCACUAAAUUCAUUCAAUAAAUUACAACAUCGAAUCCAAAUUGUUCCACUGUUAGUCUGCGGGAUUCUUUGCUUCUUGAAGCAGCAUCAAGGUCUGAAUUAUCUACAGGACUGGAGAAAAAAGCUACAAAGAGUAGUAGUCCAUGCAGCAACAUCAAGGUACUGAAAAUGGAGUUGGAAAUGAGAAAAUUCAAGGGUAUCAUGGUUCUGCUUCUUUGUCUAAUGCAGAAAGAAAUUGAUUUUAAAGGCAUUAACAGGGAAGAAAGAAACAUCUACCUGGAUUCUAGUAGGAGUCAAAGUUAACAAAUCAUUGGACAUGAACUGAUGUGCUGGGAUUCGCCUUUUGUAUCGUAACUUGACUCAUUCAGUGAACAUUCCGCCUUUGACUUCUAGGAGUGUGUUUAGCGAGCUGAAAGAAAUGUCACCAUUCACUUAAAAUCCCUUACCAAGUCCAAAUAAGUCUAACCUUGAUGAAGCAGUGUCGAAUUCUGUCACCGGUGGGGGAUUCUUAUUUUCACAAUGGUUGCAAUCCUAAAGUUGAUCCAUUUUUUUAACCACUUUAUAAGCCACAAGAAUGAAUGCAUAACAGAAUCCAACUGUCAAAUAAUAUAACAGAAAAUCAACCAACUGAUUCUAACAACUUAACUGAAUCCUAACGGUAGAAUUCCAACAGAACCCCCAACCGAUUCCGGACUCUCUUUCUCAGUCCCAACUAACCUGUAACGGAAUCUCGAACCGCCUUAACAGAAUGGAAUAACUUGGGACCAAUUGGAUGGAUCCCUAUAUAAUUCAUUUGAGAGGAUGAUGAAGAAAAAAAAUGACAGAAACCAACCCUGAACCUGCUAACUAAUUCUUCACCCUCAUGAGGAUCAAACGCCUCUUCCCGAGCUGAAUCAGCUCUAACUGCUGCGAUAAUUCUUUUCUAACCACUUGCAACCAACACACCCUAAUUCAUAUGCCAUGAGAAGAAAACCUUCACUCUACGAUCUAAAACCACCACCUCUUGACAUAACCUCGUCAAACCCUCAUCACACGCUCACACGCAUCCAACAACAGAAGCAGUACAAAAAAAAGAGGAAGAAGUUACAACGACGAGGAAAAGAAAG
rnacentral:lncRNA from 1 species